rnacentral:rRNA from 1 species
GUAGGUGGCAAGCGUUGUCCGGAAUUACUGGGUGUAAAGGGAGCGCAGGCGGGAAAUCAAGUUGGAUGUGAAAUGUCGGGGCUUAACCCCGGAACUGCAUCCAAAACUGAUAUUCUUGAGUGAAGUAGAGGUAGGCGGAAUUCCGAGUGUAGCGGUGAAGUGCGUAGAUAUUCGGAGGAACACCAGUGGCGAAGGCGGCCUACUGGGCUUUAACUGACGCUGAGGCUCGAAAGUGUGGGGAGCAAACAGGAUUAGAUACCCUGGUAGUCCACACUGUAAACGAUGAUUGCUAGGUGUGGGGGGUCUGACCCCCUCCGUGCCGGAGUUAACGCAAUAAGCAAUCCACCUGGGGAGU